UACGGAGGGUGCAAGCGUUAUCCGGAUUCACUUGGGUUUAAAGGGUGCGUAGGUGGGCAAGUAAGUCAGUGGUGAAAUCUCCGGGCUUAACCCGGAAACUGCCAUUGAUACUAUUUGUCUUGAAUACUGUGGAGGUCAGCGGAAUAUGUCAUGUAGCGGUGAAAUGCUUAGAUAUGACAUAGAACACCAAUUGCGAAGGCAGCUGGCUACACAA
rnacentral:rRNA from 1 species